rnacentral:rRNA from 1 species
AUUGAACGCUGGCGGCAGGCCUAACACAUGCAAGUCGAGCGGAUGAAGGGAGCUUGCUCCUGGAUUCAGCGGCGAACGGGUGAGUAAUGCCUAGGAAUCUGCCUGGUAGUGGGGGAUAACGUCCGGAAACGGGCGCUAAUACCGCAUACGUCCUGAGGGAGAAAGUGGGGGAUCUUCGGACCUCACGCUAUCAGAUGAGCCUAGGUCGGAUUAGCUAGUUGGUGGGGUAAAGGCCUACCAAGGCGACGAUCCGUAACUGGUCUGUGAGGAUGAUCAGUCACACUGGAACUGAGACACGGUCCAGACUCCUACGGGAGGCAGCAGUGGGGAAUAUUGGACAAAGGGCGAAAGCCUGAUCCAGCCAUGCCGCGUGUGUGAAGAAGGUCUUCGGAUUGUAAAGCACUUUAAGUUGGGAGGAAGGGCAGUAAGUUAAUACCUUGCUGUUUUGACGUUACCAACAGAAUAAGCACCGGCUAACUUCGUG